rnacentral:rRNA from 1 species
GAUGAACGCUGGCGGCGUGCCUAAUACAUGCAAGUCGAGCGAACAGACGAGGAGCUUGCUCCUCUGACGUUAGCGGCGGACGGGUGAGUAACACGUGGAUAACCUACCUAUAAGACUGGGAUAACUUCGGGACACCGGAGCUAAUACCGGAUAAUAUAUUGCACCGCAUGGUUCAAUAGUGAAAGACGGUUUUGCUGUCACUUCUAGAUGGAUCCGCGCCGCAUUAGCUAGUUGGUAAGGUAACGGCCUACCAAGGCAACGAUGCGUAGCCGACCUGAUAGGGGGAUCGGCCACACGGGAACGGAGCCAGGGACCAGAGGACUACGAGAGGGAGCAGUAGGGAAUCGGCCGCAAUGGGCGAAAGCCUGACGGAGCAGCGGCGCGUGAGUGAUGAAGGUCUUCGGUGCGUAAAACUCUGUUACGAGGGAAGAACAAAUGUGGAAGUAACUAUGCACGGCUUGACGGUACCGGAUCAGAAAGCCACGGCUAACUACGUG